rnacentral:rRNA from 1 species
AGUGAACGCUGGCGGUAGGCCUAACACAUGCAAGUCGAACGGCAGCACAGUAAGAGCUUGCUCUUACGGGUGGCGAGUGGCGGACGGGUGAGGAAUACAUCGGAAUCUACUUUUUCGUGGGGGAUAACGUAGGGAAACUUACGCUAAUACCGCAUACGACCUACGGGUGAAAGCAGGGGAUCUUCGGACCUUGCGCGAUUGAAUGAGCCGAUGUCGGAUUAGCUAGUUGGCGGGGUAAAGGCCCACCAAGGCGACGAUCCGUAGCUGGUCUGAGAGGAUGAUCAGCCACACUGGAACUGAGACACGGUCCAGACUCCUACGGGAGGCAACAGUGGGGAAUAUUGGACAAUGGGCGCAAGCCUGAUCCAGCCAUACCGCGUGGGUGAAGAAGGCCUUCGGGUUGUAAAGCCCUUUUGUUGGGAAAGAAAAGCAGCAGGUUAAUACCCCGCUGUUCUGACGGUACCCAAAGAACAAGCACCGGCUAACUUCGUG